rnacentral:siRNA from 1 species
UAAGGUGAAUGAUGGCCAUUAUCC